UACGGGGGGGGCAAGCGUUGUUCGGAAUUACUAGGCGUAAAGGGCUCGUAGGCGGCCAACUAAGUCAGACGUGAAAUCCCCAGGCUCAACCUGGGAACUGCGUCUGAUACUGGAUGGCUUGAAUUCGGGAGAGGGAUGCAGAAUUCCAGGUGUAGCGGUGAAAUGCGUAGAUAUCUGGAGGAAUACCGGUGGCGAAGGCGGGUCUCUGGGCCGAUACUGACGCUGAGGAGCGAAAGCGUGGGGAGCGAACAGG
rnacentral:rRNA from 1 species